GCGAGAGUGGCGGAACUUGGUAGACGCGCUGGACUUAGGAUCCAGUGGAGCAAUCCGUGGGGGUUCGAGUCCCCCCUUUCGCA
rnacentral:tRNA from 1 species